GCAAUGGGUGACAGAUGUGGCAUUUAAGGGGUGGUUGGAGGUAAAGGCAGAUGAUCAGAUCCUUCAGGGCUGGCAGCAUGGGAGAAUUUUACUGUGUCCUGUGAUCGUAGGAGUCCAUCUGCCCCUGGGAAAGAGGAGACUAUAGAAUUUCAAAGGUCGUUUUUCCUGGGAAACUGGCAUAUAACAGCAUAACUCUCUGUUCAGGUAUGGCAUCAGGAACAGGGAUGAGGUCAGCUUCAUAAAGAAGCUUCGGAAGUGACCUGUUGGAGAGAGAGCAGACAAACCAGCCCUACCAAGACCAGACUGUGGAUUCAGCACUUUCCUGGAGGAAAAGGUUUAAUACUCUGAAGAGGAGCAAACUCUGUUGACUGGACAUUCUCACAUGUUUUUUGUGGUUGUUGUUUGUACGUGGAACACAAUUCCAGGGAUUAAAGAGACCCUCUAGUUUUCUGAA